rnacentral:tRNA from 1 species
ACCUGGCUGGCUCAGUCUGUGGAGCGUGUGACUCUUGAUCUUGAGGUGAUGAGUUUGAACCCCAUGUUGGGUU